rnacentral:rRNA from 1 species
AACGAACGCUGGCGGCAGGCUUAACACAUGCAAGUCGAACGCGUGUAGCAAUACACGAGUGGCGCACGGGUGAGUAACGCGUGGAUAUCUGCCUUUUGGUUCGGAAUAACUCCGGGAAACUGGAGCUAAUACCGGAUGGUUCCUACGGGAUAAAGAUUUAUCGCCAAAAGAUGAGUCCGCGUACGAUUAGCUAGUUGGUGAGGUAAUGGCUCACCAAGGCGACGAUCGUUAGCUGGUCUGAGAGGACGAUCAGCCACACUGGGACUGAGACACGGCCCAGACUCCUACGGGAGGCAGCAGUGGGGAAUAUUGGACAAUGGGCGAAAGCCUGAUCCAGCAAUGCCGCGUGAGUGAUGAAGGCCUUAGGGUUGUAAAGCUCUUUUACCCGAGAUGAUAAUGACAGUAUCGGGAGAAUAAGCUCCGGCUAACUCCGUGCCAGCAGCCGCGGUAAU